AGAAAAGAAACCGCCGCUGCCCCGCGCAGGGGCGACGCUAAUAGACCGACAAGAUCACGGGUGCUUCACGUCAAACGAAAAGCGCACCACCAAAAAAUCAAUCCUUCGCCCCGCGCUCGACAA
rnacentral:sRNA from 1 species